rnacentral:tRNA from 3 species
GUCUUUGUAGUAUAUGAAAUACCCUGGUCUUGUAAACCAGAAAAGGAGGACCGCCCCCUCCCCAAGACU